GUUGUAGCUCAGUGGUAGAGUGCUUGCCUAGCACACAUGGGGCCCUGGGUUCAAUCCUCAGCACAACA
rnacentral:tRNA from 1 species